AACGAACGCUGGCGGCAGGCUUAACACAUGCAAGUCGAGCGCCCCGCAAGGGGAGCGGCAGACGGGUGAGUAACGCGUGGGAACGUACCUUUUGGUUCGGAACAACUCCGGGAAACUGGAGCUAAUACCGGAUAAGCCCUAACGGGGAAAGAUUUAUCGCCGAAAGAUCGGCCCGCGUCUGAUUAGCUCGUUGGUGAGGUAACGGCUCACCAAGGCGACGAUCAGUAGCUGGUCUGAGAGGAUGAUCAGCCACACUGGGACUGAGACACGGCCCAGACCCCCACCGGGGGGAGGAGGGGGGAAUUAUGGACAAAGGGCGGAAGCCUGAUCCCGCCAUGCCGGGUGAGGUAUGAAGGCCUUUGGGGUUGAAAACCUCUUUUGCCCGGAAGAUAAUGACUGUACCGGAAGAAUAAGCCCCGGCUAACUUCGUG
rnacentral:rRNA from 1 species